AUUGAACGCUGGCGGCAUGCCUUACACAUGCAAGUCGAACGGUAACAGGUUAAGCUGACGAGUGGCGAACGGGUGAGUAAUGUAUCGGAACGUGCCCAGUCGUGGGGGAUAACUACUCGAAAGAGUGGCUAAUACCGCAUACGACCUGAGGGUGAAAGCGGGGGACCGUAAGGCCUAGCGCGAUUGGAGCGGCCGAUAUCAGAUUAGCUAGUUGGUGGGGUAAAAGCCCACCAAGGCGACGAUCUGUAGCUGGUCUGAGAGGACGACCAGCCACACUGGGACUGAGACACGGCACAGACUCCUACGGGAGGCAGCAGUGGGGAAUUUUGGACAAUGGACGCAAGUCUGAUCCAGCCAUGCCGCGUGCGGGAAGAAGGCCUUCGGGUUGUAAACCGCUUUUGUCAGGGAAGAAACGAGUUUCUCUAAUACAGAGACUUAAUGACGGUACCUGAAGAAUAAGCACCGGCUAACUACGUGCCAGCAGCAGCCGCGGUAA
rnacentral:rRNA from 1 species